GAUCAUGGCUCAGGAUGAACGCUAGCUACAGGCUUAACACAUGCAAGUCGAGGGGCAUCAUGGAGUUGCUUGCAAACUCUGAUGGCGACCGGCGCACGGGUGAGUAACGCGUAUCCAACCUUCCCUAUAGUAGAGGAUAGCCCGGCGAAAGUCGGAUUAAUACUCUAUGUUUUCCGUUGCAGACAUCUAAGAUGGAACAAAGGCUUGCCGCUAUAGGAUGGGGAUGCGUCUGAUUAGGUAGUCGGCGGGGUAACGGCCCACCGAGCCAUCGAUCAGUAGGGGUUCUGAGAGGAAGGUCCCCCACAUUGGAACUGAGACACGGUCCAAACUCCUACGGGAGGCAGCAGUGAGGAAUAUUGGUCAAUGGGCGAGAGCCUGAACCAGCCAAGUAAGCGUGCAGGACGACGGCCCUAUGGGUUGUAAACUGUCUUUUAUGCGGGGAUAAAGUUCACUACGUGUAGUGUUUUGUAGGUACCGCAUGAAUAAGGACCGGCUAAUUCCGUGCCAGCCGCGGC
rnacentral:rRNA from 1 species